GGCCCCGUCGUCUAGCCAGGUUAGGACACGGGCCUUUCAAGCCCGUAACACGGGUUCAAAUCCCGUCGGGGUCA
rnacentral:tRNA from 1 species